rnacentral:lncRNA from 1 species
GGCGUGAGCCACCGCGCCCGGCCGUCGUGGGAGCUUUUUAAAGGGUUUUCAGUCUUAUGAAUAGUCUCAGCAAUAUUGAAAGACUAAUAUAUUAAUAGUAAUUAUUGCUUCAUGUUAAUCAGCAUUCCAAAGAUAAGGGGUCAAAACAGGUUAUUAAUUAUAAAUAUCUGUGGCUCCUCUGGCCUGGAAGUUUCUCUGAAUCUGAGUGAAUUAGAGUGUAAUGAGUGUCCCCUUUGCCUUCCCUGCACUUAGUACAUGUA